UUCCUAAUCCUAGGUGUUGUAUUGAGUGUUGUUCAUUGGCCUAGGUGAAGCCUGGGAAGCAGUGGGGCAGCCAUGGAGCUGCUGACUGGGACUGGCCUGUGGCCUGUGGCCAUAUUCACAGUCAUCUUCAUAUUACUGGUGGACCUGAUGCACCGGCGCCAGCGCUGGACUUCUCGCUACCCACCGGGCCCUGUGCCAUGGCCUGUGCUGGGUAACCUGCUGCAGGUGGACCUGGAUAACAUGCCAUACAGCUUGUACAAGCUUCAAAACCGCUAUGGUGAUGUGUUCAGCCUUCAGAUGGCCUGGAAGCCCGUGGUUGUGAUCAGCGGACUGAAGGCCGUGCGGGAAGUGCUGGUGACCUGUGGAGAGGACACAGCUGACCGCCCUGAAAUGCCCAUCUUUCAACACCUAGGCUAUGGGGAAAAAGCUAAAGGUGUGGUCUUUGCACCUUACGGGCCUGAAUGGCGAGAACUGAGGAGAUUCUCUGUGUCAACCCUGCGCAACUUGGGCCUGGGCAAGAAAUCGCUGGAGCAGUGGGUGACAGAGGAAGCUGGCCACCUCUGUGAUGCCUUCACCGCCCAGGCUGGGAGUCCCCUCGAUCCUUACACACUCCUGAACAAAGCUGUGUGCAAUGUGAUUGCGUCUCUCAUUUAUGCCCGUCGCUUUGAGUAUGGAGACCCUGACUUCAUCAAGAUGCUAAAAAUAUUGAAAGAAAACAUGGGAGAGAAUACUGGCUUGUUUCCAGAGGUUCUGAACACAUUUCCAAUUCUCCUGCACAUCCCAGGGUUGGCUGACAAAGUCUUCCCUGGGCAAAAGACAUUUCUCACCCUGGUAAAUAAGCUGGUGACUGAGCACAAGAGGACCUGGGACCCUGACCAGCCACCUCGUGACCUGACUGAUGCCUUUCUGGCUGAAAUGGAGAAGGCAAAGGGGAACCCUAAGAGUAGCUUCAAUGAAGCAAAUCUACGUCUGGUUGUCUUUGACCUGUUUGGUGCUGGGAUUGUGACCAGUUCAAUCACUCUGACCUGGGCCCUGCUGCUCAUGAUCUUGCAUCCAGAUGUGCAGCGCCGAGUGCAAGAGGAAAUCGACGAGGUCAUAGGGCAGGUGCGGUGUCCAGAGAUGGCAGACCAGGCCCACAUGCCCUACACCAAUGCUGUCAUUCAUGAGGUGCAGCGCUUUGCAGACAUUGUCCCAAUGAACUUGCCACACAAGACUUCUCAUGAUAUUGGAAGUACAGGGCUUCCUUAUCCCUAAGGGGACGACCCUCAUCCCCAACCUGUCCUCCGCGCUAAAGGAUGAGACUGUCUGGGAGAAGCCCCUCCGCUUCCAUCCUGAACACUUCCUGGAUGCCCAGGGCCAUUUUGUGAAGCCUGAGGCCUUCAUGCCAUUCUCAGCAGGUCGUCGAGCAUGCCUGGGGGAGCCCCUGGCCCGCAUGGAGCUCUUCCUCUUCUUCACCUGCCUCCUGCAGCGCUUUAGCUUCUUAGUGCCUGCUGGACAGCCCCAGCCCAGUGACUAUGGCAUCUUUACAUUUCUGGUUAGCCCCUCCCCCUAUCAGCUCUGUGCAUUCACACGUUAGCAGGCAACAAAUCCUAGUCCAGAAACUAGCUUAGAGUCACACGCACAAUAAACCAGUUUUGUGGCUGCCA